GCCUCUUCCACCCUACAGCUGGCCUCGGACCCCGCCCUGCGCAGCAAGCUGGUCCGCCUGUCCUCCGACUCUUUCGCCCGCCUGGUGGAGCUGUUCUGUAGCCGGGAUGACAGCUCUCGCCCAAGCCGAGCAUGCCCCGGGCCCCCGCCUCCUUCCCCGGAGCCCCUGGCCCGCCUGGCCCUAGCCAUGGAGCUGAGCCGGCGCGUGGCCGGGCUGGGGGGCACCCUGGCCGGACUCAGCGUGGAGCACGUGCACAGCUUCACGCCCUGGAUCCAGGCCCACGGGGGCUGGGUGAGCCGCUGAAGCCUCUCUCUCCGGGCCUCACUUUACCUAACU
rnacentral:circRNA from 1 species